AUUAUAAAUAUGAACAACAACAACAACAAAGUCAUUGGGGACAGCUUAUGCAAUCUUUUUGCAGGUUGGGGCUGCUUUCCACAUCGUAUUCUUUGUGUUUAUAAUUUCUUGGCAAAUUUGUUUUUGAGAAAAGAGAAAAUAAUAAGUAUUUGGAGUGAUCCCUGAUGUUGCAUUGCAUAUCAGUUUUUGUAUUGGAUCUAGAGAUAACAAUGGCUAAUCUUUUAAAACAAGGAAACAAAAGCUAUAUUGUCGAUAAAAUAAUAAGUGGAUUAUACAUAAAAAGGACUUUUAAAUAUGAACAUCUAAUUUUUAAUUUUUUUAAUUAAGAAUUAACCUUCCUCAGCAAUAAUGUAUUGAAUCAUAACUCCCUUAUUCUCAUGGAAUUAUGUUUACGCCUUGGGUAUAUAUGUUUUGCUUAUACAUUUUAUGGCGCUAGUAGCUGUCACUUUUAGCGUCAUUGUUUUAGCUGCCUAUUGAUGGUCGUGAUAAGAAUCUUCUUUCAAGAUUUGAUUACUAGUUGCAUUUCUUAACCAGGAGUUUUCUUUUUGUUCUCCAAAUUGGAAUGUUGUUCAUUCUUAUCAGUGGGCACAGAUACUAGAAAUUUUAAGAAAGAAAAUUAAAAAGAGGCACAUGUACAAAAUUACGUGAGUGAUGUAGAGUCAAAUAUGACUCUAGCUUCCUCUAUAAGUUUAAAUUUCAAACCCUUGAAUAUUAUGGGAAAAACCUGUUGCUAUGGAGUUGAUUCUGACUCACAGCGACCCUAUAGGACAGAGUAGAACUGCCCCAUAGGGUUUCCAAGGAGGGACUGGUGGAUUCAAACUGCCGACGUUUUGCUUAGGAGCUGAGCUAUGGGGGAAAAAAAAUGGGGAAAGGAGAGCUGAAUUCUAGGUGCUAAUCAAAUUGCUGCUUUGAGAAUCAAAAUGAUCUUUUGAUUAAGUUUUAACUACUCAGAAUUAGAAAGCUAUAGAAGAAUAAAUGAAUGGCAUACUCAUGAUAGAAUUUUUAGUUAUGUAUGGCUAGGGUGUUUCAAUACAACAAAACAAACACCCUAGCCAUACAUAAGUAAAAAUUCUUUCAUGAGAAUGGAAAGAGGAGCCCUAGUGGUGCAAUGUUUAAGCCCUUAGCUGCUAAUCAAAAGGUCAGCGGGUUGAAACUACCAGUGACUUUGAAGGAGAAAAAACCUGGAGAUCUGCUCCCAUAAGGAUUAUAGCCUUGGAAACCCAAAGGAGCAGCUCUAUUCUGUCCUGUAGGGUCGCUAUGUGCCAGAAGGGACUUGAUGACCCACAACAACAGGGUGUUUUACUAGAACAAUGAAGAGAACAAGGCACACAUGAUAGCAGAGAGUCUAGAAGCUCCUCUGAAACUUGUUCAGCAUCAUAGCCAACACUCAAGCUUCCACUGAGAGAUGGGUGGUGGCUGUGCAUUGGCCAGGAAUGAAAUCUGGGAAGGUGAGAAUUUGAUGACUGAAUCACCAAUACAACACCUCACAAAAUUAACAAUAAGAAAAAAAAAUAGAAGAUACUAAUUAAAAGCAACAGCCUGAAGACUUUAAUUUGAUCCUAUGUCAAUAUUUACAAAUCCACAACUAUUGCCUGCUUUGGACUUGAAAUGAGAUGUGUAAGAAUAUUUCUGUUUUGGUAAGUCUAGAUGACUUGCUUCUCGUUAUCCCAAUUCUAUUAAAAUUUUCAAAGGCAUUUUGUAUAUUAUUGAGAAUUAACAAAAAUUGUCGAACCAAAAUUUUAAUGCAAUUAGGGAAGAGGAUAACUAAGGAUGCUGAGGUUAAAAAAUCUUCUAUAGUAGAGAUUGGUGAUAAAAUAGUUAAUAAAGUAAAGCUGAGGUGAACCUAAACAUUUUCUUCCCUUUGCCAUUAGUUAUAACAUUUUGAUGUUCUUUUGUAAGUUUAAGAUUCUGAGAAGAAAAUGUGUUCCAGUAACCAGGAACACUGAAAGAGAAAAGUGAAUAAUAUCCUUAUGACUCAGUAGCUGGUAAUUUAAGUCCAUGGCCUAACUGGGAAAGUCAAUUUGCCUUUGAGAAGAAUUCAGCUUUAUUGGUAUCACAGGGGUUGAAGAUGGAGAUUGAGAAGCAGAAUUUUACCUGUGGGUAAAUCUUUCAUAUCCCAGCAUUCUUCAAGUGAGUACAGGCGGUUUUCUGCCUGCUCCGGGCAGAAGGUUAGUGAGAAGUAGAAAAUCGAGUUUAAUUGCAGGAAUUUCUUCCGCAUAUUCUCCCGGGGGAGGAAACAGUUUGUGAUGGUUUGAAAUCUCUAGUACAAGGGUUGAAUAAGAGCCAAUUUGAAGGAUCUUUUUAUAAUCACAUCAUGGAAAAAAGAGAAUUUCAAGCUUUGUGAAAUGUUUACCAACCAUUAGAGAUGUAGUGGUGGUGUAGGGGUUGGGAGGUACUAAAUACUAACUUACUCCCAUGUUUGUUUCUUUUUUAAAGUAUUCUUCUUAUGUCAUUUCUGACAAAUAAGUAAAGAUGAAAACUUUUUGCUUACUCCAAAUCCUGUGUGUUCUGGUAUAGAGAAAUCAUGAGCUAGGCACAUGGAAGUUUAUCUGGGAAAGACUACUUUCUUCUGCCCCCAUAUUGACAUUAUUCUCUUACCUUCUAUGAAAAUCCAUGAAUUUUCACUCCCCAUAUAACUUUUAUAGAUAUAUUGGAUUAUGUUUAAUAUUUAAAGUCAUAUUUAGCCUGUUCUUCUUAUGGUUUUCUGAAAGUAGACUAACCAGGGACUUGGUUACUUGAAUGGCGGGAUAGUAUAAAUAAAACACUUUCCUUAAGAUGUGAGAUCUAAUCCCUGAACCAUCCCUAAAACCCUUCUGAGUUUCAGUUUCCUUUUUAGUAAAAGGUGAAUAAAAAUUCCCACUCAAUACAUGAGACUAUGUGGGCAGCUCCUGUCUGGAGGUGAGAUGAGAAGGCAGAGGAGGACAGGAGCGGGUUGAAUGGACAUGGGAAAUACAGGGUGGAGAGAAGGAGUGUGCUGUCACGUUGUUGGGAGAGCAAUUUGGGUCAUAUAACAAUGUGUGUAUAAGUUUUUGUAUGAGAGACUGACUUGAACUGUAAACUUUCACCUAAAGCACACAAAAGUUAAAAAAAAAAUUCCUACAUUAUUUCUCAUGUGUUGUAGAAGUAAUUGGUGGGAGCAAAUGAAGUAAUGUAAAAAAAGGUUCUACAAAUAUAUUACUUUCUUUUUUCAAAACUGUAUUUCCUGGCAUCAUUAAAUUAAAUGUACAAAAAUAAAAUUUAUGCCUAGUUCUAUUCUAACAAUUCAAAUAUAGCACUUGUAGUUGCCCUGUUUAAAUCUUCUGAAGCCUGGCUCUACUUUCUCCAUUUCUACCGUAACUAAAUUACUAAGACAACUCUUAGGGAGAUAUGUACUAAAAUUUACAAAUACUGCAGAACAAUUACAAUUCUUUCAGGAGGAUGACCAAUAAAAUAUGGGAUCAAAGUACUCUCAAAUCCCAAAGUAAAUACAAACUUUUGUAGAGAGGAAGAUCCAUCAGGAAUAUGAAAGAACUAGAAAUGCUAAUGAGAUUUCAUGUGUCUUUUUUUUUGUAUCUACUUCCACAUUGCUGGUAUAGUGGUAGAAUUCUCGCCUUCCAUUCAGGAGACCCCAGUUUGAUUCCUGAGCAGUGCACCUCGUCCACAGCUACCACCCAUCCAUCUGUGGAGGCUUGCAUGUGCUAUGAUGCUGAACAGGUUCUAGCAGAGCUUCUAGACUAACAUGGACUGGGAAGAAAGGCCUGGUGAUCUACUUCCAAAAAUCAGCCAAUGAAAAUCCUGUGGAUCACAACGGUCAGAUCCAUAACCGAUCAUGCAGUGGUGCAGGGCUAGGCAGAGCUGCUUCUGUUGUGCAUGGAGUUGCUAUGAGUCAGGGUGGACUCCACUGCAGCUAACCACAACAGCAGUGAUGAAAAUAUGAGUCAGACUGUCUAGGUUCCAACUCCAUCUCCACGCUUACACCUGUAUGAAUAUAUACAAAUCAAAUAAUAUCCUGAAUCUCCGCUGCCCGUCGGAGCAAUAAAACCAAUAACGGCAACUGCUUCAUAGAGAUGUGAGAAUUAAAUAUUACCCAUAUAAAUCCUUUGUGUGUCUUCCAUAUAAUAAUAAUUCACAUUUAUUUAAGUCUUACCAUGCUUAUCACUACUUAUCUUCAAUAGUGAGAUCCUAGAUAUAGCCAUGAUAUUUUCAAUCACCUUAUAUGCAUGUGAAAGCUCAACAAUGAAUAAGUAAGAAUGAAGAAUUGAUGCAUUUGAAUUAUGGUGUUGACCAAGAAUAAUAUACUAUGGACUUCCAGAAGAAUGAACAAAUCUGUCUUGGAAGAAUCAGUACAGUCAGAAUGCUCCUUAGAAGUGAGGAUGGUGAGACUUUGUCUCACAUACUUUGGACGUGUUAUCAGGAGGUACCAGUCCCUGGAGAAGGACAUCAUCAUGCUUGGUAAAGUAGAGGGUCAGCAAAAAAGAGGAAGACCCUCAAUGAGUUGGAUGACACAGCGGUUGCAACAAUGGGCUUAAGCAUAGCAAGGAUUGUGAGGAUGGUACAGGACUGGGCAGUGUUUCAUUCUGUUGUACAUAGGGUCUCUAUGAGUCAGAACUGACUCGACAGCACCUAGCAACAACAGGUAUACAUGGUCUAAAGGUGUUUAUUACUACACAGCUCUAAAAUUAACGCAUACAGGCAAUGAAUGCUAAAGAGAUAAAGGCAACCCAGCCAGCUGUGGCAAAAAGAAUUGGAAAAUCCACUUUAACUAACCAUGUAGCAUACAUACAGCACCCGUAUAUUUUAUCGGUUUAGCACAAAGAAGUCAGAAGUCAAUCAGAACGUGAACCUGGAAGAAAGCUCAAUAUAACCAGGUCCAUAAUCUUACUCUCCAGAAUCAAAGACAGACUUGAAUUACAGGCAGCGUGCAGAAAGGAGUAUUUGCCAGUCUCUGAAUCAGUGUCGGUUCCUAAGGUUUCCCUAACAUCCCUUUUGAAUACAGCUCCCUUCAAAUAUGUAUUUCUUAUCUCUAAGAUUUAUGGAUACAGUUUUCAUUACUGCAUUUCAGUUCAUA